CCUACGGGGGCAGCAGUAGGGAAUCUUUCACAAUGGGCGAAAGCCUGAUGGAGCAACGCCGCGUGCAGGAUGAAGGCCUUCGGGUUGUAAACUGCUUUUAUAAGCGAGAAAUAUGAUGGUAACUUAUGAAUAAGGAUCGGCUAACUACGUGCCAGCAGCCGCGGUCAUACGUAGGAUCCGAGCAUUAUCCGGAGUGACUGGGUGUAAAGAGUUGCGUAGGUGGCAUAAUAAGUAGCUAGUGAAAUCUGGUGGCUCAACCAUUCAGACUAUUAGCUAAACUGUUAAGCUCGAGACCGUGAGAGGUAACUGGAAUUUCAAGUGUAGGAGUGAAAUCCGUAGAUAUUAGAAGGAACACCGAUAGCGUAGGCAGGUUGCUGGGACGGUUCUGACACUAAGGCACGAAAGCGUAGGGAGCAAACGGGAUUAGAUACCCGAGUAGUC
rnacentral:rRNA from 1 species